UUUUUGAUUUUUUUUUACUAAAUUUGGUGUUGACUUUUUUUAAUUUCUGCUACUUAUUUUUUUAGUGAUUUGAGUGGUUUUUGUUCAAACAAAAAUGAAAUUAGAGGAAGUCAAAAUGAUGAGGAAUGGAGCAAGUGAAAAAAAAUGAACUCAAAGUAGAUUCCUCAAAAGUUUUGAAGGUCAAUCUUUUCUUGAAUUUUUUUCCUCAUCCAUUUUGAUUUCUUGGUUAUUUAUAUGAUUUCAUUUAAUUUUGAUUCGGUGAAGAAAGAACUUUUUUUUCUUCUCAUCUAUAUUUGUUUACUCUUCACCCAUGGUAGUCGUGCCCCCAUCAUUAGUAGAAUUCAAAUUCUCAUAAUUCAGUCUAUUCCGACACCGAAGUAAGGUUGAAGAAGGACGGAGCUCUACCGUGAAAAGCGAAACAGAUAAAAAACCAUUCUCCUACGCUACAUGUUGGAUGACACAGACAAGUAUAUCUUUGUCCAAUUUGAGAUUCACAUGUUUAAUUGUGGUGAUUUUACGUUAGUUUAAUUUUUAGGAAAAAUUAUGUCUAAUUUGUUCUAAAAAUCUAAAAUACAUUUCUUUAAACUUAAAAUUUACUUAGUUUACACAUAUUUCAUAAAAAUAGUGUUACGUGGUAUAAGAUGAGAAUAUAUAAAAAUACAGAUUAUGUACUUUGUAGUGUAAUUUAUCAAAUAUUUUAAUGUCAAGUGCCAUCGGGGCACGGGUUCUUUCAAACUAUUUAAACUAUCUACGAUUUUGUCCAAACUAACAACACUUUUUUUAAAUUAAUAUAUUUUUUAAUUUAUUCUCCAUUUUGUAGCAAUAUAUCUCUUUAUAUAUGCAUACAAUGUAUCUCUUAUAUGAUAUUUAUAUCUUAUAUUUUUUAGGUUAUAAAAUUCUAACGAAUAAACGGUAUUUUUUUUUGCAUAAUAUUCGUGAACAUAGGCAAUUACUAAUUUUUAUAUAAAAAACAAGAAAAAGACUGCUCUAUCUUUGUUUUUUUAGUUAAGAACCAUCCUAAUCCACGAAGACUGGUCAUGACUCAUUUGUGACUGUAGACUCGCGAAAUCUGUGCCUACUCACGUAUGUAUGUAAAAAGAUAUACUUCCUCUGACGAAAUGACACGUGUCUAUAGGACCCAAAAUUUAAUUACUUCUUUACCCUUGGAAAAGUUACAAACUCAAGCCCAAGUCCAAGGUGGAGGCCUCAUGGGCCACCGUUGGGCCCUUCGUCGUCUUUGGUUGUAUUCUUAGUCUCAAAACAAUUGAUUGGGCGUUUUUGAUUAUGUUGCAAGCAUGUUUUGUAAAUGGCGGGGCAAGUUAGAUUAACUUUAGAGUGGUGUGAGCUUUGCCCAAAAUGAAUACGGUCUCCAUACAUUAUUUUUAAAAUAUUCUCUCUUUGAAUGUGUGUGAAAGAGAGCACUUCAAUAUAAGGGAAAAUUGAUUUAGGAGGGUAAAUAUUCGUUCGCAGAGUUAAUCACAAUAUUAGACUUGAAAAUAACAGCAGCUUGAUGGGCAACAGAAUAGCCAUACAAAUUUGAGCAACGAUCAACAAUAUAAUUGUGUUGGCCGCAAUGAAUGCAAAUUUGAGGACCACGGCCACUGCCUCUCGAAUCACUAGCUCCACAGCCAAAAUUACAAUCAUCACGAGGAUAAUUAUUUCUAAUGCGAUUGGGCCGUCCACGACCAAAAGCAGGGGGCGAUAAGACCCAAAAGAUACAGCCAAAGCUGAGCAAUUGGUAGGAGAGUAAGCAGUGGACGGUGAAAUAGUCUACCGGAGACGACUGAAGACAUCACCAAGGGAGGAGCUCUUUAGCUCUAAGAAUCUAAAAACAGACACUAUCAAAGAAGGGUAGGAGACUAAGAAGGAACGAGCCACCUACAUGGACUCUCAUUGUUACUCCAUGGCAGCAACAUCAAAGGAAAUAGGCUCACUCAGUCUAAUAAUCUCCUUGCAAACAGUCCAGAACCGGCCAUAGUAAUCUUCAAGCGACAUGUCACCAAGAGUAAGAGAGAAAAAGGUCUUAUGAAGAUCGUAGGUACGCCACAAAUUAUCAACACUAGAAACAUCUCCUUAGCUUGAUCCCACACUAUUUGACCGAGGUCAAAUAAGUCAAACUGCUACUAAUCUGAAGGUCCAUACCAUUUCACAUACGAAGAAAAAUAUGAACAUCCUCGACUUCCAAGUAGUCCAAGUAGCAUGAGAGGGAUCCUUAAGAUCAGAAGGAGCUUCAGUAAAAUACUUAUCCAGCUCAUUAGCCAUUGUAUAAAUCUCAACAGAUUUGACUCAUGGUGCUUAAUUACGCCCAUUGAAUCGUAUAGACAUAAUAGACAUAAAUUUCGACACCCAUAACGAAUCAGAAGCAAAACGCCCAGUAGCACCAGCAAUGGCAGAAAUAAAUUGAAUAGCCAAUGACCAAUACGAAAAAGGAGUCAAAUAACAAUGGGGGCAUCAACAAAUCAACAAACUAAAUCAUAGCACACCGAUUGGGCAAUGAGCC
rnacentral:lncRNA from 1 species